ACUGCAUGGAUUAAGGACUGAAUAGACUCGGCGAGUCCUUCGAGUGGACUCGGCGAGUAGCUUGAAGAUGAGGAGGAACUCGACGAGUGGGAUGAACAGCUCGUCGAGUCGGAUGAAGUUAGGCAUGAACUCGGCGAGUUGGAAGAACAACUCGACGAGUUGGUUGAAGAUUGCCUUGGGCUCGGCAAGUCUAUUCUUGGACUCGGCGAGUCAGGUCGCGAAACCCCAAACCCUUCGAGUUGAAACUCGAAUCAGUGAGUCGGGUGGAGACUCAGCGAGUUGGACAGGUCAGGACUCGGGAAUAGUUGACUCGGCGAGUCAUGGACUGACUCGGCGAGUCGAGUCGCGAAUAGAAAGACCCUGAGCAUAUGAACUCGGCGAGUUAUUAGGUGGACUCGGCGAGUAGGGUUGACCUGGAAGGUUGACUUUGACCAGGAUUUUGACCUUGACCAGAGUUGACCUAGUUGACCUUUGGAGGUCAGUUGGACUAAGUGUUAUAUUGACAUUGGUAGCUCGAGGAGCUAGUGGAGCAGCAGUUCGGAGUCAGAGGUCGGGUAGCAGUCAAAAGGAUUAGCAGCAUCAGUUCAGCAGUCUCAGGUGAGUUUCCUUCCAGUAGGAACGGGUCUAAGGCCACAAUGCCGACCCGUUUAGCUAGUAGCAGUUUUCGGAUUUUGAUCUGAUGCAGUAUUUAGUAUGUUUGAUGCCUUCGUGGCUCAGACAGGAAUUAUGUGUUAUGUGUUUCGGGCCACGACCCGAUGUAGUAUGCAGUAUAUGUGUGUUCAUGCUAGUUGAUAUGUAUAUGAUAUGUUCUGUUCCGUUAGCCCCGACUUCGGUCCGAUGCAUGGGACAAAGUCCCAGUUAGUCCGGACGUCGGUCCGAUGCAAGGGGCAAGGCCCCAGUUAGCCCGGACUUUGGUCUGAUGCAUGGGACAAGGUCCCAGUUAGUCCGGACUUCGGUCUGAUGCAGGGGGCAAGGCCCCAGUUAGCCCGGACUUUGGUCUGAUGCAUGGGACAAGGUCCCAGUUAGUCCGGACUUCGGUCUGAUGCAGGGGGCAAGGCCCCAGUUAGCCCGGACUUCGGUCCGAUGCAGGGGACAAGGUCCUAGUUAGUCCGGACUUCGGUCCGAUGCAGGGGGUAAGGCCCCAGUUUGCCCGGACUUCGGUCCGAUGCAGUGGGCAAGGCCCAGUAUGUGCUUAUAUGUUAUUGUUUGGUAUGUGGUAGAUUGGGGAGCUCACUAAGCUUCGUGCUUACAGUUUUUCAGUUUUGGUUUCAGGUACUCAGUUUUCAAAGGAGGAGCUCGGGAAGAUUGCAGUGCACACACCAUAGUCAGUUAACCUGGGAAAGUUUGACUCUGAUAAUGAUAAUAUGUUUUGAAUUAAUACUCGAAAAUUAUGUUAUGACUUAUGAUACGGUUUUUAUAAAUAUAAUUUAGUAAUGUUUUUUUUAAGAAAUUUUUAGUUGUGAUUUUUGGGUCGUUACAAGUUGGUAUCAGAGCCUUGGUUUGAGGGAUUCGGGUGCACUCCCGAGUGUGUCUGAACUCAAACUAAGGAAGUGGUAUAGAGCUUUCAAAAGAAAAACCAUGGUUACAAAAGGAUUUUUAGAAAGAAAACAAUUUUAGAAAAGUAUAAAGAAAAGAGUUUUAGAAAAAGCAAAAAGAGUUUUGAAAAGAGAAAAGGGUGUGGUGCAUGCAAUCAGCCGAGCUCAAGUAAGUACUCCCAAAUUACCCAUACAAGUUAUGUUAUGAUUAUCAGUUCCAGUUUCAGUUUCAGCUUCAGUUUCAGUAGAACAGCAUGCUAGAAUAGGACUAAGGAUCUAGGAUGAUGCCUUAUGUGCCUACUUUAUGUGUUUCAGCUUGAUAAGAAUUUCAUGCUAGUAAUGAGUAGACAGUAGUAGGAUAGCCUGUGUAGGUUAUGCCUGAUAGUAUGAGCUUAGCAUUGUAUGCUAGUACAGUUUCUUGUUAUGAGAAUAGUUUUGCCGGAGUAUGUUUCCUUUAUCCGAAUGUUGCUUGCUUUGUGCUUUGUGGGACUCUGAGUGAUGGGAGUUAGCCAUUAGGUGAAUACGUCACAUCACAUGUGAUCAGGGUUGAAUAAUCUCAGAGUGCUGGAUUUGGCCCUAUUGCGCAGCUCUUGUUUGAGUCCAACCAUUGUAGGGACGAGUCUUUUACUUGAAGGAUUAUUUGAGCCUCGUCACAUGUGAUGGUAUUCAGGUAGUGGCUAAUUGGCAUUACAAGGAGGCCUUCAGCUGCUGAGGACUAUUUGGGUAGAGUCAGAGGUUCACUCGGGCAAGCCUAGGAUGAAAGUAGCAGAGGUUAGUAGAAGAGAAAAGGGGACUUGGUGGAGUUGAGGUAACUCUUGAGGAAAGUACGGAUAGAUGUGGAAGGUAGUAUGGGCCCGUACUAUUGAAAGCAGAGGAUCCGUACUCAAUUCAAGGGGGGCCAAGGCAAAAACCAGGGAACUAGUAGAGUGUGUGAGAGAUUCCGCAGCAGUAGUGUGUAAAUUGACCAGGAAUUGUUAUAUUUUCAGCAUGGUGACAUUGCGCGAGCUACCAGUUAGCAGUUCAGGCGUCGCGGANGCGGAGGGAUUCGGACUUUGGAGUCGGGCCGCUUGAUCAUCAGAUGAGGGAUUUCAUUUCCACUGAGAUCAUGUGCAACAUCAUUGAUUAGACUCCAGUGAUUUUCGGUUCGGUUAGAGAGGCCAUUGUGGAGCUCAUGGACAUUCAUCUUGAGGCCUUUAAGGCUGGGAUAGUUUCAGGACAGAUUGGGGCUCGUCUAGAUCCCGAUUCUUAUGGAGUUUGGGGAUCCAUCAGGGGGGGAGAUCCCAUUUCUAUUUUUUUCCAUUAGGGAACAGGAGUGAGUGGGGCAUCCUGUCUCCAAGAGAGACCUCUGCAUGAUUGGAUAGUUGAGGAAGUUUCGCGAGCCAUUCGCGAGGAUCUGCCCGACAUGGUCGUGAGGAUCACUGAUAGAUUGAUCGAGAGGCUCCAGGAUCAGACAGCUGUUGUUCAGUCGGCGGGCAGGGAGUCGGAAAGGAAGAGGAAAGCGGAUGAGACUCAGGUAGCCUCAGGUUCGGGUAAGAGGCCCAAGGGUUCGGAUUUGAGGACGAGGAACUAUCAGAGCUGCAGUCGAUGCGGGAAGUGCGGAAGGACGCACAUGGGUGUGUGCAGGCAUAGAAGUGGUGGCGAUGCUGGAUGUUUCAAGUGCGGCUAUAUUGGUCAUCUUAGCAGAGAUUGUGUUAUUACCAUCGCCCAGGGACUUGAUCCGUUAUGUUUCCAUUGCAGUUAGAGGGGCCACAAGAAGGCCCACUGUCCAAGUUUGUAUACAGCAGGGCAGGUGCCAGCUCCUGCCCCUGGGACUUCGAGAGCCACCAACGGACAUCAGGGCCGGGCAAGGGCGCCUACGGCUCGGAGCCGAGUUUUCCGGUAGAUUUCAGCAGGGAUUCGAGCAGCACUGAGUGAUGGAGGUAUGUAUCUUUUGCUUUUCUGUCAUCUAUUAUUGUGAUAUUAUUGUUAUGUUGCUGCAUUACCUGCUCGUGGUUGAGUUUUAUGCCAUCUGCAUACCUUGGAAUUCGAAUAGUGAAUUGGAGGUCGUUCCCUCUAGAUCAGGUUAUUUCGGAUUCAGUAUCUGUAGCAUGUAUGUGUAAGAUGCAGUAGUGCUUUACUACUUGCGGAGGGCGUUAGUCGAGUAAUGAUCAGUUAUAUUCUCAGUUGUGAUAGUUCAGAGUUUUUAGUGGAGUAGCUAGCGGUCAGUAAGAAAGUGGGUUGGGGAGGUGCACCCCAAACGCAGAUUCUCGGGAUGUAGUCCCUAAAGCAAUUACAGUUAAGGACCGAAGGGUGCUCAGUCAGAUAGCAGGAAGGGUGCGGAUCUGGUAAGAGUUAGUUGGAGCGCUGGCAAGGGUAAACGUCGGCGGUCAGCAUAUCGCCCUUCUAAUGAAAGGAAGGUUGGAAAUCCUUUCGACCAGUGAGCAGUAAGGAUCUAGUCGAAUCCAAGUGGGGGAGAACCCUUCCAAGUAUACAAGAAUAAGAGCCACGUAGACUCAGAAUGAUUGCGCGGCCUCUGAAAUGAUUGUAGCACAGUGAUCGAUGGAUUGAGGAGUUCAGAUUUGGGAGUUCGAGGACCUUUCCAGCAGUUAGUUCAUGUAAUCGAGAUGGUUAGAAGCUGGUUGAGAAUCCAGGAUUGGAGGACCACCUGUAGAGGCUCAAGUGAGUCGGAAUGAGGAUCCUGAGAACGGUUAGCAAGAGAUGUUUUCGUAUUAGUAGCCAGUGACAGAGUCAGCAUGCAGGAUUGUGUAGAUUCAGGAGUUGGGAGUUUGGAAACUUCCCAACAAUAGCUUCUUGUAUCCGGAUUAGUAGACGGUUGGUUUGGGAACCAAGCCGAAGAGUUCCUCGACGAAGCGCUAAGUAUAUCAAGGAUAUAAGAUGUCGAGGAUGAUGCAGUAUUCAAAGACUGAGGGCUGUUUUUGAGAAAUCAGGAUGAGGAAUCACUAGCGGGACUAGGGAUAGUCAGGAUGUCCUCGGGAUAGUAGUAGUAGUGUUGUAAGUCUGCAGGGGUAGUCGUAGCAUUCACUAGCAGUCAGAUAGUAGUAGUAGUGUUGUAAGUCUGCGGGAGUAGCAGUAGCAUUCACUAGCAGUCAGAUAGUAGUAGUAGUGUUGUAAGUCUACGGGGGUAGCCGUAGCAUUCACUAGCAGUCAGAUAGUAGUAGUAGUGUUGUAAGUCUGCGGGGGUAGCCGUAGCAUUCACUAGCAGUCAGAUAGUAGUAGUAGUGUUGUAAGUCUGCGGGGGUAGCCGUAGCAUUCACUAGCAGUCAGAUAGUAGUAGUAGUAUUGUAAGUCUGCGGGGGUAGCCGUAGCAUUCACUAGCAGCCAGAUAGUAUUAGAGAGUUGUAAGUCCGCGAGCGUAGCCGCAGCCUUUAUCAGAUUGGUAGGUAGCAUGAGCACGUUGUUGGACGCGGGAAAGCAGUAGUACCCUCCAGUUCGGGUGCAGUAGUGACGAUAUGGGAAUCCACAGGUUAAAUUUCAGAUUUCCAAGUAUUUCAUUUAUGGUUAAGUCGGCAAUUUGUCAGUAGAUCGUCACCUCAGUUAUGAGAUCAGAGUAGUAGUGGACCGUUGGGGUUCGGGUAUGUUAAGGGCUACCGUCAGUCUGGGAGCCAUCAUAUUGUUAGUCGUGGAAUUGAUGAUGUCAGGAUGUGACGUAAGGACCCGAUCGGUGGAUCGGGAGGUUGUUAAAGUUGCAGUGUCAGGAUGACUGGUGGAAACUAGUUCCACAGGAAGAUUUCGUUUAGAAGUUGUGGGAAGCAGCCAUUCAGCCAGUUCAGUGAUUCAGCCAGUUCAGUGAUUCAGUCAGUUCAGUGGUUUAGCCAGUUCAGUGAUUCAGUCAGUUGAGUGUUUCAGUCAGUUCAGUGUUUCAUUCAGUUCAGUGUGUUUCAGCCAGUUCAGCAUUUCAGCCAGUUCAGUGUUUCGGGUAGUUUAGUGUUCCAAGCAGUUCAGUAUUGCAGGCAGCUCAGCGUUUCAGAUAGUUCCAAUAUGAGUAGCAGAGUGGAUAGAACAAUUAUAAAUAAUCAAAGAAUCUUGCGGNUGAGGAAUCUUGCGGAGUCGCUGGGAGCGACUAGGAUAUUGCGAUGGNNNNNNNNNNNNNNNNNNNNNNNNNNNNNNNNNNNNNNNNNNNNNNNNNNNNNNNNNNNNNNNNNNNNNNNNNNNNNNNNNNNNNNNNNNNNNNNNNNNNGUGAGUCGGGUGGAGACUCAGCGACUUGGACAGGUCAGGACUCGGGAAUAGUUGACUCGGCGAGUCAAGGACUGACUCGGCGAGUCGAGUCGCGAAUAGAAAGACCCUAAGCAUAUGAACUCUGUGAGUUAUUAGGUGGACUCGGUGAGUAGGGUUGACCUGAAAGGUUGACUUUGACCAGGAUUUUGACCUUGACUAGAGUUGACCUAGUUGACCUUUGGAGGUCAGUUGGACUAAGUGUUAUAUUGACAUUGGUAGCUCGAGGAGCUAGUG
rnacentral:lncRNA from 1 species